UACGUAGGGUGCGAGCGUUGUCCGGAAUUAUUGGGCGUAAAGAGCUCGUAGGCGGUUUGUCGCGUCGACUGUGAAAACCUGGGGCUUAACUCUGGGCCUGCAGUCGAUACGGGCAGACUUGAGUUCGGUAGGGGAGACUGGAAUUCCUGGUGUAGCGGUGAAAUGCGCAGAUAUCAGGAGGAACACCGAUGGCGAAGGCAGGUCUCUGGGCCACUACUGACGCUGAGAAGCGAAAGCAUGGGGAGCGAACAGG
rnacentral:rRNA from 1 species